rnacentral:lncRNA from 1 species
UUUUUUUUUUUUUUUGGUCUUUUUGUCUCUUCUAGGGCCGCUCCCACGGCAUAUGGAGGUUCCCAGGCUAGGGGUCCAAUCGGAGCUGUAGCCGCCGGCCUAGGCCAGAGCCACAGCAACGCCAGAUCUGAGUCGCAUCUGCAACCCACACCACAACUCACGGCAACGCCAGAUCCUUCACCCACUGAGCAAGGCCAGGGAUCGAACCUGCAACCUCAUGGUUCCUAGUCGGAUUCGUUAACCACUGUGUGGAUGUAGCAAUGAAAGUUUUUAAUACUUUCUCCAAAAUGAGUCAUUCAGUUAUUUUUUUUUUUCUUUACAUAGAUUUUUUUAAAAACAUCACUGACAGUUUAACAUGGUUCCCUGUCGCAGGCUGUUUAUAGUAAAACAUCUGUAUAUGUAUGUUUGCAUGUUCCUCAAGCACUUGGCUUUUGCAAAUGGACCUAAAUGAGAAGGAUGGUGGAUUUCUAUUCAUAACCUCUGUUGUCAACUCACUUGAUUUUGUUUUUGUUCGUUUUUGUUUUUGUUUGUUUUUGUUUUCUUAGGGCCACACCUGCGGCAUUUGGAAGUUCCAUCCCUGACCUCAUUCAGUGGGUUAAGGAUCCGGCAUUGCCAUGAGUUGUGGUGUGGGUUGCAGAUGAGGCUGGGAUCCUGCAUUGCUGUGGCUGUGCUGUAGGCUGGCAGCCACAGCUCCAAUUCCACCCCUAGCCUGGGAACCUCCAUAUUCCACGGGUGUGGACCUAAAAAGCAAAAAAAAAAAAAAAGGAAGAAAGAAAAGAAAAAGGUCUGAAAUGUAGCCUCUCAACUGACCCUUCUAAGGAGUGUUUCAGAAAAAAAGGCCUAAGACUGAAGAUGCAGCCUAAUAAAAGCUGAACAUUUGAGGCAUGUGUCCGCACAUUUUAGCAAAGAAGUUCUGUUGAGUCAAACAACUUGGGUAGUUGAGGCUGUAUCUGAAUUUCUUUGGUUUUCCAGAUGACGGCCCGAAGUCUUAUUUCCCUUUUUCCUAACCAACCUUGUUGAGUUAAGGAUCCGGCGUUGCCGUGAGCUGUGGCGUAGGUCACAGAUGCGGCUCAUAUCUGUGUGGCUGUGGCUGUGGCUGGCAGCUGCAACUCCAGUUUGACCCCUAGCCCAGGAAUUUCUAUAUGCUGCAGGUGCAGCCCAAGAAGAAAAAGAAAAAGAAAACCAGCGAAAACCAGAUAAAUGUCUGUAUUGCCUAAUCUCCCCAAUAAAGCCCUGCUUUCCCCUCUCUCCCUCUCCCCCUCCUCUUCCUUGUGACCUGGUUCCAGCCACACUGUACAAAAGGGACCGGUGGCAAGCUCGUCUGCUCCCACCUUAGGCCUCUGGGCCAGAGUGUCCUCUGGCCAUGCUCAUCUUCCCCUGGUUUUUGCACAACUGUCCCUACUUCAGAUCUGUCAUUCAGAUGUCCGCUUAAACAUCACUCCCUGAGAGGGGCCUUUCCUAUCAUCUCAGUUCCGCAGGGCCCCUCACUCUGCUGCUUUGCCUUUUUAUUAGCCUCUCUCUGAUUCGUGUAUCCUCUGACGUCCUUCAUUAGAACGGGAAACUGGGGCCGGGUGCACUCACUCCGAAAUGUGUCGCGUGAACGUGAGGUGGUUUUCAGUAACCUGGUACGGCUACUUAGAGGGCACUCCCUGGAUGGCAGAGCUUGGUGUAGACAGGAAUGCAGAUGGAAUUGCCGGUAAACUCCUGCUUUUGAGCAGUGGUAGACUGAAAAAUGGGUGGUGAUUGUGUUUGCUUAAUGGUAGCAUGCUUUUUUUGGAUAGCUUUAACUUUAAAUAGAAUUCCCAAAAUAGAGAUAAGGGAUGGCUUUAAGAUUUUUGUUUUAAAGUCAAAUGCGCUGUAGAAGUUCAGGUGAGUUACGUAAGUCGGGGAAGGAACUAGGUCAGAGUGUAGGGCUCACACAUUUCCUAUUGAUUCUAGAAGGUGGGGGGGUGUUUGAUUGUAAAUUUUUGAGAGGUUAAUUCAGCUGGUAUUAACACUCAUUCAGUGCACUCAGAACUGUUCUGACCAAAGACCUGCCCUGUGCCUAGGAAUGUGCCCUGCCUCGUGAAGGCCUAGAAAGGACUGGGAAAAAAAGGGUCCCUGCCGGUGUGCUCCCCCCAAAGUCGAAACAGGAGAGCUCAGAGCUGGUGGCCCCAGAUCGUGAUGGGCUUCUCCUGAGCUCUGCAAACACAGCAAGCAUCUUGUCCUACCUGGAUUGAGUGCGUUUCUGAUGGAGGUUAGGAGACACCGCCCUCCCAGCCCCUUAGGCCCCGUCCCAGCGACUCUCCUCUGGUGGGAAGUCAAAGGCAGCUGAUGGAUGGAGGGUUCUCCUUAGCGCAAGGCGGUAUGUGAGAUUUUUAAAAAUAGCUGUGGAUUAUCGUUGGCAUUCAGAGCUUUAGAGAUUACGGUAGGCUGGUUUGGGUCAGGAGGGGCUCGAUGGGAUUUUGAAACAUGAGGGAACUGGCACCCAGGGGGCGCGGCUAACGCGUGCCAGCCCUUCCUCUCCACCGGGUCCCGUUUCCAGAUCAGGAGACCGAGGCUUAGGUGGCACAAGUUUCCCAGGGCUCCUCGGAGGACAGUCGCAGAGCCAAGCAGGCACCUCUGAGAAGGCGGGAGCCGCUCUGCGGGGGGAGGGUGGAGGCGUGGGAGCCCUGCCCGCGGUGGGGAAGGGCUGUGGCUUGUACCUGGAAGGGGCUGGAAAGGGUGCUGGUGAGGCCUCCAAGCACGCUCCCUCCUGUCCCCGCUCAGCCCUGGCGCGGCGGAACCACCUGCGGCCAGGCCGAGGGGACGGUCGCCGUCCUUCGUCACGCGUCUCGCCUGGAGCUGAUUUCCGUUUCUGCUCCCGCCUGUUUGGUCUGGACACGAGUGCAUGUGUAGGUCCGGGCGCGCGUGAUGGGAGCUCCUAGCCCCUGGGCACGUGCCGCCUCUUCAUUCUGCUGCACCUGCUUCGUGCCUGUGAGGCUAACCCCACCCCCUAAACGAGGGGGAGAUAGAACACUGGCCGUGAGGCCGCAGGCCCAUCAGGGCCUUAGACCCAGGUGGCCGUGCUCUGGGGGAGCUGUGACAAGGACCCCGUUCCCAGGGAUAGAUCCUAAGUUCACUUUCUUGGGAGCUGGACCGCUUCACGUGGAAAGACAGGUCGUUGCGGACUAAGCAGGUGCGUGUUAAGCUGAGGACGCUGGUUUCGAACAUCCUCUCGCGAAGCCGCGAGCUGGGCGGGGGCCCAGGGCUCCCGUGUUACCAGCACGGGGUGCCCUCUCGGGCCUCCUCUGCCAGACCCCAGCCAGGCAGGAGGCCUUUGUCCCAGGCUGAGUGUGAUGGUGUCACUCCGUGUGGACGGGGCCGUCCCGUGUCCCCCGGCUGAGCCCUGCGCGGGGGAGGGGACGCCCGGCAGGGAGUCCGGGGCUCUUCCCUGUGGAUCCGUUUUAUGUUCGUAUCCGUUUCAUGUGCCCUGUAAGUGAUAUUUAAAACAAAAGGCUAAAAAAUCACCGUCUGGCUGUUUCUUCACGUUGCAAAGGGAACAUAGGUCCCAGGGCAGGGCCGUUUUCCGUCUGAGCCUUCUUGCGUCGUUGCUGGAUGGCCUGGCAGGACUCUCGGAAGCACUGUGUGGUCGCAGAAGUGUCAUUUGCAGAGUGGUGGAGCGGUCAGCACUGCCCGACCCUGCUGUUAGCAGUUGUCAGGUGGUCCCGUGGGAGCGCCUGGCCUUUGAAGCAGACCUUCCCAGGCUGGUCCAAGGCCGCCUCAGCCCGUCCUUCCUGGGGCAGCCGAGGCACUCGCUCAGCCCCUGCGGCCUCUUGCCUGGCCGUGCAAUCCGAGGAUUGGCCAGGGCCAACUGGAUGAAAGAACCCGAGGGUCACCAUGUCCCAGCCCCGUGUCAGGGCCACAGGCUGCCUGACCAUCUGGAUUAAGUCCUCUUCCGGAGGUGCCUUGAGGCAGUUGCAUCUUUGGUGUUGGUUCCCGAAGAGGGCAUAGUGGUUAAAGAUGUUGGCAUUGGAGUUCCUGUUGCGGCUCAGCAGUAAUGAACCCAGCUAGUGUCCAUGAGGACACGGGUUCAAUCCCCAGACUCAUUCACUGGGUUAAGGAUCUGGCAUGGCUGUGGCUGUGGCUUCAGCCAGCAGCUGCAGCUCUGAUUCGACCCCUAGCCUGGAAACUUCCGUAUAUUGCAGGUGUGGCAC